rnacentral:lncRNA from 1 species
CAAAGAUAUAGAUAAUUUCCAAUAUUUGGAUAAGACUCCCUUCGAAAAGGUUCAUGUUAAUUUCUGUAAAUAUAUUUUAGGUACUAAAAAAACAUCUGCUAAUUUAGGUGUUAAAGCUGAACUUGGUAGACAACCAAUAGAAAAAAUAUAAAAACACAAGCAAUUCUUUAUUGGGCUAGAUUAAAUACUGAAAACAUAAACCCAUUGCUAAAAGAAAGUUAUACAUUAAGUAAACACCUUGAUUCACAAGGAGUUUAUACUUG